rnacentral:misc_RNA from 1 species
GGGGUGAGACGCACGCUUCCAUCCUCAACGGCACCGAUCAGCCAAACAAGAAGACUAAGGUUUGCCAACGGGCGCACAAGCGACGAAAACGGGAGCAUACACGUGUGUUUUUGGGCGUGACAUGUAGACUCGCUUUCGUUGGCGGGGAGAAGAUCUCAUCACUGGAAGCGGUUGCCGCCCUAUCGUUCUGCCCUCGCAUUCUUCCACAGCAACCGACGGCUAUUUCUUUCCUUCUCUUCUUUUUUUUUGGAUGUCUCGCAAGGUGAGCGCCGUGGUCGUUUGUGGGCCUUCUGGUGUCGGGAAGACGACAGUCGGCCGAAAGCUUGCAGCGCUUUUCAAGUGCCGCUUCGAGGAGGCGGAUGACUAUCACAGUGAUGCGAACAAAGAGAAGAUGCGCUCUGGGGUGCCGCUGACGGACGACGAUCGUGCGCCGUGGUUGCGUCGGCUCCAGAAGGGGGUGCUCGCGCCGUGCCAGGGUCUCGGUACCGCGUCGAUGGUGCUACCCUGCUCCGCACUGCGUCGUUGUUACCGUGACGCGCUGCGGGGAAUGGACUACUGCAAGAAUUCCAAGGCGGCCGCCAAUACGCUGCAGCACACGGACGCUUUUUUCCUGCUGCUCAGUGGAGACGUGAAGCUGAUCGAGGAGCGGCUGCAGGCGCGCCAGGGACACUUCAUGUCGACCUCCCUUCAUGGAUCGCAGACGGCCACAUCGGAGGCUCUGAAGCCAACGGAGUUGGGCUCUACAGUUGACUUGGAUGACCCGCCGUCGCUGAUCGCCACGGAGGCAGCCGAGCUGAUUCGGAUCGCCACCACGUCGUCCCUCCGCAUAUCGCCCCAGCCACCUCCGACAGACGCCUGGCCAGGGCAACGGAUGCUUCAGCCUCUUUCUCUUUGAGAUUCAUGCAUGUGUCUAUAUUGGCUCUCUAACCCUGUCGCCCUCUGCGUUGUACUGCUCGCCUUUGAUUUCUCGUCCUCCACUUCGUCCUUCUGUUGGGCGACGCCUACCUAG